AAUCAACGCUGGCGGCGUGCCUAACACAUGCAAGUCGAACGAGAAAGUCCCCGCAAGGGGAUGAGUAAAGUGGCGACCGGGUGAGUAACACGUGACUAACCUACCCUGAAGCGGGGAAUAACCUCGGGAAACCGGGGCUAAUACCGCAUACCUUCCAGAGGGGAAGCUCCUCUGGAGGAAACGAGCAAUCGGCUUUAGGAGGGGGUCGCGCCCGAUUAGGUAGUUGGCGGGGUAACGGCCCACCAAGCCUUUGAUCGGUAGCCGGCCUGAGAGGGCGCACGGCCACACUGGAACUGAAACACGGUCCAGACUCCUACGGGAGGCAGCAGUGGGGAA
rnacentral:rRNA from 1 species